AUGGCUGCAGUCGCAGAGCUCUCCUUCCUGCUGUUUGCUCUCAUCAACAACAUUCAUGCAGAAGAACGAAUCAUCAUCAAAAGGGAAUUGGACUUUUACAUCUUCCGGCUCCCCAAGAAGGCCGACUCCUGCUUGAUCUCCAGAUUUGUUGGUGAGAAGAAGCUCGUCCUGUGGAAUACCUCUGCCCUCUGGUCCCAGAACUCCACAGUACCUGAAGACUUGAAACGACGACUGUCAGUUGUCAGCAGAGACAAUAUUUCUUCUUACAUGAUCCAGAACCUGACCCACUCUGACUCCGGCCAGUACCAAGAGAAGUGUUGGGGCAACGUGACAUAUGAGAACAACAUCACUGUUAUUGUUUGUAGUACGAUACUUUUUCGCAGACGUGUUGAUGUUACAGUUGGAGAAACAGUGGACCUGCCAUGUGAGGGAGCGGCUGACAAUCUGGACAUCCAGUGGCUCAAGAGUGAUUCUGGAUAUUGGAACAACAUUUGGACGAGAGUUUUUGGGGACAGUGUAACAUCAGUGAUGGACGAUGUUGAAGGAAGAUCCCAAGUGGUGAAAGACUCAUCAGGACUUCAUAUUUACAACCUCACAUUAACACAGUUCAAAUUUUACACCUGUCUCGUGAUGAACCAACAGCAGUGUGUCAGCAGUCACCCUGUAGAGUUAGACCUGCCAUGGGAGUCGAUCCUCCACACAGUGGGAGAGACAGCUGUGUUACAGUGCCCUGCUGCUGAGUUCACUGACAACCAGACUCCACUUUGGAAAAAGUAUGAUGGGAUCUACUACGACUCUGUCUCAGAGGUGGGAAAAAACUACUCACUGGUGCUUUCAUCACUUCAGUUAUAUCACUCAGGUUUAUACUCUUGUGAAAUCUACAACCAUGUUCAACAGUAUCACCUGGUGGUGUGCCCCAAAUCUGACCCACCUGCUGUCGAGCUCUUCUCAGAAGGAGACAAUGUCACUUUCAGAUGCAAAGGUUGGGAAAAGGGUAGCUGGCAAUUCUGGUUCAUCAAGCCAAACCAAACAGAAGGCAGAGCCUUGGAUGUAUAUUAUUUAACAUCUGGUCUGAAGAGCAGACUGAACAUAUUUGAGGAUGAUGGCUUGGUGAUUCUCUCUAAUGUCUCACUGGAAGACACAGGAGAGUACUGGUGUGCAGUGACUAAAAGAGAUCUACAGUGUGUGUCAUCCUCCAGAACUGUUCUGAAGUCCAGAGAGCCCUCUGGGAUGGACUUCACCCUCUACACGGUGAGGUCCUCACUGCUCCCUGGUCUGCUGGUGAUCCUCUGUGUUGUUGUGGUCGCUGUGAACCAGAGGACCAGGAGAGGAGAGCAGCGUCCAGCUCAGACAGACAGUUAA
rnacentral:lncRNA from 1 species